rnacentral:rRNA from 1 species
UACAGAGGGUGCGAGCGUUGUCCGGAAUCACUGGGCGUAAAGGGCGCGUAGGUGGCGACCCAAGUCCGUGGUGAAAGCUCGUCGCUUAACGACGAGUCGGCCACGGAGACUGGGUGGCUCGAGCACUGUAGGGGCAGAUGGAAUUCCGGGUGUAGCGGUGGAAUGCGUAGAGAUCCGGAAGAACACCAGUGGCGAAGGCGGUCUGCUGGGCAGUUGCUGACACUGAGGCGCGACAGCGUGGGGAGCGAACGGG